rnacentral:rRNA from 1 species
AUUGAACGCUGGCGGCAGGCCUAACACAUGCAAGUCGAACGAGUGGCGGACGGGUGAGUAAUGUCUGGGCAACUGCCUGAUGGAGGGGGAUAACUACUGGAAACGGUAGCUAAUACCGCAUACAAUCCUAUGUCCCCAGAUGGGAUUGGCUUGUUGGUGGGGGAACGGCUCACCAAGGCGACGAUCCCUAGCUGGUCUGAGAGGAUGACACGCCACACUGGAACUGAGAGACGGUCAAGGCUCCUACGGGAGGCAGCGGUGGGGAAUAUUGCACAAUGGGCGCAGGCCUGAUGCAGCCAUGCCGCGUGUAUGAAGAAGGCCUUCGGGUUGUAAAGUACUUUCAGCGGGGAGGCGUUACCCGCAGAAGAAGCACCGGCUAACUCCGUGCCAGCAGCCGCGGUAAUUC